GAUGAACGCUGGCGGCGUGCCUAAUACAUGCAAGUCGAGCGAACAGACGAGGAGCUUGCUCCUCUGACGUUAGCGGCGGACGGGUGAGUAACACGUGGAUAACCUACCUAUAAGACUGGGAUAACUUCGGGAAACCGGAGCUAAUACCGGAUAAUAUAAUGAACCGCAUGGUUCAAUAGUGAAAGACGGUUUUGCUGUCACUUAUAGAUGGAUCCGCGCCGCAUUAGCUAGUUGGUAAGGUAACGGCUUACCAAGGCAACGAUGCGUAGCCGACCUGAGAGGGUGAUCGGCCACACUGGAACUGAGACACGGUCCAGACUCCUACGGGAGGCAGCAGUAGGGAAUCUUCCGCAAUGGGCGAAAGCUUGACGGAGCAACGCCGCGUGAGUGAUGAAGGUCUUCGGAUCGUAAAACUCUGUUAUUAGGGAAGAACAAAUGUGUAAGUAACUAUGCACGUCUUGACGGUACCUAAUCAGAAAGCCACGGCUAACUACGUG
rnacentral:rRNA from 1 species